AGGAGCCGUGUGCGUUAAAAGGCGCAAGCACGGUUUUGGAGAGCAGUGGGGGUGGUGACACCUUCACUGACUUUAAU
rfam:Chamaesiphon minutus PCC 6605, complete genome.